GGUGGAACCCAAACGAUCGCUGGUACGCAGUGCGUACCGGAGGAAAGUCCGAACACCACAGGGCAGGGUGCUCCGUAACCCGGAGUCGCGGAAACGCGAAGGAAAGUGCAGCAGAGAGCAGACCGCCCGGCAUCCGCAUCUUGCAUGCGGAUGCCGGGUAAGGGUGAAACGGUGCGGUAAGAGCGCACCAGUUCCCCGGGCGACCGGGGAAGCUAUGCAAACCCCACCCGGUGCAAGACCGAAUAGGGGAGCACUUAAGGGUGGCCCGCCCAAUGCUCCCGGGUAGGUCGCUGGAGGUGCCGGGCAACCGGCACCCGCAGAUGAAUGAUCGUUGCCCGCACCCGGGGCAACCCGGUGCGGGAACAGAAUUCGGCUUACGGGUUCCGUUGACC
rnacentral:RNase_P_RNA from 1 species